rnacentral:lncRNA from 1 species
CACCUCGCGAAGUGCAUCGCGGACACUGCUGGCUUGCUUCUCGGCGCCUUCCGAGGACACGAAACGAGGUUCCAGGUGUAUUUGAACGGUGCGCUUCCGCUGAGGCAAACGAUCGCCGACAUCCUGGACAGCUGGCACCACGUCGUCGUCCGCCGCCGCGAAAACGAAACUUUUCUCGCGUUCGCACCGCAUCGCGAUGCCGCGGCUAUUGACGGCCCCGGGUCAUAGGCCUCACUGCCGGCCGUCGACUCGCCAUCAUUCCGAAGAGCUGGCACGGCGACGUCAUCCGCCGCCACGGAAACGAGACUUCUGUCGCGCUCGAACCGCACCGCGAUGUCGCGGCUAGUUGACGGCCCCGCGUCAUAGGCCUCACUGCCGAGCAUCGGCAGCGAGCAGGUGUCGGCUUCCGACGACACGUAGCUUGGUGGCGACGCGGUCCUCGGUUCGUCUGAUUCAAUCGCUGCUGACUGCUUCGUUUUCCCAACAGGAGGCUUGCGUUUACGCUUCCCGUAAGCGUACUUCGUCCGGUACUUCGUCCUGCGCUUCCGGUCCACGCGACGAUCCAUUGCGGGCGCUAACCCUCGCGCUAGAGAAGAGUUCACGUAUCGGCGACCGUGCAGCAGAAGGGGAUUCGCAAACUAUCGUGCGCCAGCGUGUGCACAGCAGGCGUGCGCGGAGCAGACGACCAGCGCAAGCAAGCGCGUCCCAGCAGCCACUCACAGAGCGCGCUCAGUACCACGUGACAGGAGCGACCAAUUGGUGCGCGUCUAAGGCGCCGCGGAUGCCUUCGCAUUUUUUCUGUUUGUGCGUUUAUCUCAGCUCGUAGAGUCGUGGUUUCACCGGGAGAAGUACGGCGGUGAAACAAGCUUUCCAGUGACACCAAGCUUUCCGCGAGCGGCGGCGAAGGCGCGGAGGUAUCGCGCUCGGAAAUGGGCCAUUUUCGCGCAGAUUUCAGCCAGCUUUUUGCGAU